GACGAACGCUGGCGGCGUGCUUAACACAUGCAAGUCGAACGGAAAGGCCCUGCUUUUGUGGGGUGCUCGAGUGGCGAACGGGUGUGUAACCCGUGAGUCACCCUCCCUUGACUUUGUGAUAACCUCAGGAAACUGCGGCUAAUACCUGAUAGGUGCUCCUGCUGCAUGGUGGGGGUUGGAAAGUUUCGGCGGUUGUGGAUAGACUCGCGGCUUAUCAGCUGGUUGGUUGGGUAGUUGCCUACCAAGGCUUUGACGGGUAGCCGGCCUGAGAGGGUGACCGGCCACAUUGGGACUGAGAGACGGAGCAGACUCGUACGGGAGGCAGCAGUGGGGAAUAUUGCACAAUGGGCGGAAGCGUGAUGCAGCGACGCCGCGUGCGGGAUGACGGCCUUCGGGUUGUAAACCGCUUUCGCCUGUGACGAAGCGUGAGUGACGGUAAUGGGUGAAGAAGCACCGGCUAACUACGUG
rnacentral:rRNA from 1 species